rnacentral:lncRNA from 1 species
UUUGGAGCCAACAGAGACAUGUUGGUGACAUUUCAGUGUCCUCAGACUCUUUUAUAGAGAAGCUUUACAGGCAUCUGACUGAUGGCAUGAGCAACUGCCGGAACACUUGGCUUCUCUAUUUGGAUGUGAGAUCCCCUAAUCUUCUCCCGCGUGAACAUUGUCCUAUCCCUGCCCUUGGACUGAGAUGGUCCAUCCACUUGAACUUGAACGGACUAAGAGGGAUACUGACUUCAAAAUCAAGGU